CAGAAGGUACACUGGCCCUGGAGUAGGGAAGUUUCCCUAAUCCAUCUCUUUGACCAUGACCUUCACAAAAGUGACUAUAGAGGAGUCAUUUUAAAAUGGAGUCAGAGCUGCCUGUCCAGAGAAAUUGCUUGGCUGUCUUAAACCUCGGACUGGGCCAAACCUGUGGAGAGGACCAGAAUGGCAAUUGUUUUACAAGCAAUUGUUUGAGAAGUCAGCAGGAGAACAGACACUCUGAUCACAAAGACCGAGGGUUGUGGACUUUCUGAAGAUGGAAUCAAUAGCCAAUCAAUGUUUAACCAAGACUAGCUGUCUGCCUCCAACUCCAAUUAAAAUUCUUUGUAAUACAACCUCCCUUCUUUGCCUUUAAAAGCUCCUGAUUUUUAGUGCCUAGUGGAACACUUUUUGAGUUUCUACCUAAAUAUGUUUCUCCCAAAUUGCAGUUCUAAUUGCCCAAAUAAAUAUCUGCUGUUUAAAUUGCAGUGAUUUUUCCUCUGUCAACAACCUACGAGGUGGUAAGCAACUAUAAGACGUGAGGCCAGAGAAAUGUGCUUGUCAUUUGUGUGUCCUCAGUCUCUGGUACUAGUCACAGAGUCAGUGCCCUGAAUGCUUUCGAGUAAAUUAAUUAAUCAGUGUUGGAAAAUACUCAAGGUACGACUUCAAGAACUUGAAUUCCCAGGCAAGACUGGGAUCUCAGGAGCCAAAGCUGAGCACAGGAGAAGGAAUUGUUAGAUGUACAAAUAAAAAGAUCUGACAGUUGACUUUAAUUGCAUAAAGAAACACAGCCUUUCGCAUUUGAACUUUGACCAACCAGGCAUCUCACACAUGUCCUGAGCGGAGCCAUUGAUGUCCCCAUAGUCUCCCAUCUCAAUACGUGUCAACUCUACUCUUCCAGUUGCACAGGCCAAAAAACUUUCGUUAUCCUUGACCCCUCUCUUUCACUCACACCAGUCCAGGAGAAAAUCCCAACGGCUUUUCCUUCAAAAGAUAUUUGGAGUCCAACCAUGUCUUAAGGCUUCCCCUUAAGCCAUCCAUCAUCCUUCCAAGCCAUCAUCCUCUCUCUCCUGGAUUAUUGCAAUCACCUCCUUCUGGUCCCCCUGCUGUCACCUCAGCCGCCUCUAAUCUAGUCUCAACUCAGCAGCCAGGAAGCUCCUGUUAAAACAGUCAGGUCAUGUCGCCCCUCCACUCAAACCCCUCAGCGUGAAGGCCAGAGUCUUCACUGUGUUCUACAUGACAGUGCGAACAGGCUCUUUGUCUCCACCAUGACCUCAUCUCACCAUAGGCUCUUCUCGCUUACCCAGCUCCAGGCUCGUCCACCUCUGGGCCUCUGCUCUAGCUGUUCCUCUGCCUGGAAGACUCUUUCCUAGAUGUCAGCGUGCUCUGGGCUAUGCAGAAUAAUGGCCCCCUGAAGAUAUCUAUGUCCUAAUCCUUGGAACCUGUGAAUACAUUAGGGUUCAUGGCAGAGGAGAAUUAGAGCAAUAGAUGGAGUUUGUGUUAUGGGCUGAACUGUGUCCCCUCAAAACUCCUAUAUUGGAGUCCUAACCCCCAGGACUUCAGAAAGUUACUGUGUUUGGGGACAGAGUCUUUAAAGAGGUAAAAUGAGGUCAUUGCGGGUGGGCUCUAAUAACUGGUGUCCUAAUCAGAAGAGAUCAGGACACAGACACACGCAGAGAAGACGAGGUGAAGACACAGGGAGAAGACAGCCACCCACAAACCAAGGAGCAAGGCAUUAGAAGAAACCAACUCUGCUGACACCUUGGUUCCAAACUUCUCACCUCCAGAAUUGUGAGAAAAUAAAUUUCUGCUGUUUAAGCCACGCACUCUGUGGUCCUUUGUGACGGCAGCCCCAGCAAACUAACACAGGCUGCUCAUCAGCUAACCGUGAGACGAGAUUAGCCUGGAUUAUCCAGCUGGGCCCAAUGGAAUCACAGGGUCCUUAUAAAUGGAAGAGGGAGGCAGAGAGAGAGAACCAAAGAGACGGCGUGAGGUGCGCUGGGUCUGGUGAUGCCGGCUUUGAAAAUGGAGGAAUUCGGUUACAAGCCAAGGUGUGCAGGUUGACUAUGGAAACUGGCAAAGGGGAGGAGAGGAAACACACUCUCCUCUAGAACCUCCAGGAGGAACGCAGCCCAGCCAACGCCUUGAUUUUAGCCCCUGAGACCAAUUCUGGACGUCUGACCUCCAGAAUAGUCUCUAACUCGCUUCUCAGCGCAGCCUGCCCGGACUUCCCUGUUUAAAAUUGAACACCCCCACCCCCACCCCUCUUUCCCACUUUAUUUUUCUCUUUAGCAUUUAUUACCAUCUAACGUAUGACAGAUUUUGACUUAUUUAUCACGUUUAUUGUUUGUCUCCCUCUUUAAAACAUAAACACACAAGGGCAUGAAUUUUUGCUUCUUUUGAAUCUUCCAACCACAUAGUAGAUGUUCAAGAAAUAUUCAAUGAAUUGGCUAAACAGUUUAACUUGAAUAGGGAAAGUAUUAAUUUAAGAUUACGUAAUUAUAAACAACCCUUUCCCCAUAAAACAGCCACCGCCCCCCCAAAAAAAUGUUCUAUAAUUUGUGGUGGUUGUCUCUUUAUAUUUUCUUAAUUCAGUUUUAGAAUCAAAUAGAUCCUGGUCUAUCCACAAUGACAGUCACACAAGAAGGCGCAUCAGAGAGGCUGGCCCCAUGGCCAAGUGGUUAAGUUCGUGCGCUCCGCUUCGGCGGCCCAGGGUUUCACCGGUUCAAGUCCUGGGUGCGGACAUGGCACCACUUGUCAGGCCACGCUGGGGUAGCAUCCCACAUGCCACAACUGGAAGGACCCACAACUAAAAAUACACAACUAUGUACCAGGGGGCUUUGGGGAGAAAAAGGAAAAAUAAAAUCUUAAAAAAUAAAAAAAUAAAUAAUAAUAAAAAAAGAAGAGGCAUCAGAAAGGAGUCGUAAAAAGAACCAACUGUGUUAAUAGCAUUGGCCAGAAGGUUUGGGGGGGCAUCUAACAAGUAAACUACAGGGGGCUGUGCCCCACCCACUCCUGGGCCUUGGCUCCACCUCAGCGGUUGCCCGUGCUCAGAGAAUGGGAAUCUUUGGAAAUAUUAGUCAGUUCCCUAGAACAGGUGUGUGCAUUUCUCUAGGGAAAGAAUCCAUUGAUGUCACCAGCUUCUCAAAGGGGUCAGUGAACAUUUAGGGAUCCCUGACCUAGAAUCAGCCAUUUGUCUGUAAAUAUUCUCACCAGGAUUCCAGACCUUACCCACAGAGAUCAUGUUUGAACUAAUAUAAUAAACUGGUGAUAAAAUAAGGGUCCGAUGAUUGUGAUUUUCAAUUUUAAAAUAAUUUUUCUGUGCUGAUCCAACCUUAG
rnacentral:lncRNA from 1 species